rnacentral:rRNA from 1 species
GACUAACGCUGGCGGCGUGCUUAAUACAUGCAAGUCAACGACUUUUAGAGUAGCAAUAUUUUAAAGGAAGUGGCGCACGGGUGAGUAACACGUAGGUAAUCUGCCUUCAGGACUGACACAACUCGUCGAAAGACGGGCUAAUAUCAGAUAAUGCAGCGACUCCGCAUGGAGACAGUUGUUAAAGUACAAAGCGCCUGAAGAUGAGCCUGCGGUCCAUUAGCUAGUUGGUAGAGUAACAGCCUACCAAGGCAACGAUGGAUAGCUGGUCUGAGAGGAUGAUCAGCCACACUGGAACUGAGACACGGUCCAGACUCCUACGGGAGGCAGCAGUAAGGAAUAUUGCUCAAAUGGCCGAAAGGCUGAAGCAGCAACGCCGCGUGAAGGAAUGAAUGGCCUUUGGCCUGUAACUUACUGUAAAAAGGGAAAACAGUACAGGUAUAU